UACGUAUCAGCGAAUGUUGACGUCCUGCGAUUCGAAUCGUCAUUCGGCAUUUGGCUUACAACGAGUUAAGUUGCGUUGUAGAGAUCAGACAAAAAAUUGAUUCAAUUGAUAAAUUCUGGGUGAAAAAGUGGCAAUAUGGCGGAUUACGAAGAAAUGUUGCAUAUCGAACAAGAAAUCGAGGCGCUGCGAAUUGAGUACACGGGCAUUCGAUUCCACCGAUUUUGCGUACUAAAAGAUAUGCGCAAUGCAGAAUAAAAGUUGCUGUCCAAAAUCUGAUGCGGUCUUCAAGACACCGGCAGCAAAGACAAGCUCUCAGGCACCAAAUGCGGAAAUUCGUCCCGGUGAAGGUUCAUCAAACAACACAUCUAACAACGAAAAAUCUGGAUCAAGUGGUCGUUCAAUCAAACAGAUGAGCGCCGCAAUUCGAUCGAUUUUAACUGUGAUGAUGAUGACAAUAGUUCAUUCUUUGACCAUUCAUUUGCGUUCCUUUCUUCGAAACAAAGUGAUGAUUCUGGUCGAUCUGACGAAGCAAAUCAAAGUGGCAUCAGUGAUUCUUUAGAUGAAGAGAUGAAUUUUGACGAAUUUUCGUACCAUGACGAUGAACCAUCUAGAUCAAAACAGUCAAAAUCUGGUCGAACUUCUGUUCAAGAUUUCAAGAUCGAUUUCGAUGAGAAUGAGGAUUAUGCCGGUUUUGAAUAGAAUUGACCAUACGGAUCAUCUCAUCAAAUGCCUUCGCCGCUCAUUCUUAUUCUCGUCUUUAAAAAUAGACUUGAACUAAGACAUUUUUUUUUUAACAAACAACAUUUUCCAUUUCAUCAUUUCAUUUUUUUUCUUUCAAAUUUGUUUCAAUGAUAAUUUAAAUCAAACAAUUGUUCAUUAGA